CAAAAGCGUAUAUUAAAGUUGUUGCAGUUAAAAAGCUCGUAGUUGAACCUUGGGCUUGGCUGGCCGGUCAAUCUUUUUUGAUGCGUACUGGACCCAGCCGAGCCUUUCCUUCUGGCUAGCCUUUUGGCGAACCAGGACUUUUACUUUGAAAAAAUUAGAGUGUUCAAAGCAGGCCUUUGCUCGAAUAUAUUAGCAUGGAAUAAUAGAAUAGGACGUUAUGGUUCUAUUUUGUUGGUUUCUAGGACCAUCGUAAUGAUUAAUAGGGACGGUCGGGGGUAUCAGUAUUCAGUUGUCAGAGGUGAAAUUCUUGGAUUUACUGAAGACUAACUACUGCGAAAGCAUUUACCAAGGACGUUUUCAUUAA
rnacentral:rRNA from 1 species